CACUUAAGCAAUUUUAGCUCUUUGGUCUGCAUAUCUUGUAAAAUUUUUAUCCAUUGACGGUUUUAUUUGUUUUUGAAAACUGAAAAUUCGCGUCGCGUUGCCGAAUCGCGUCCGGUCUGUGUGGGCCUUUAUGAAAAGCAGCGCCGUCUAAACCGGGCCUUAGCUAAGCUACGACACGUGCGUGAUUAAUUGCUUUUUCUUUUGUUAUGCAUUGUUUUAAUUAGGCACAGAGGUGAAAAUAUGCGAUUUUGACUAACAUUUUUGAUCGGCCUCGUACAUGCUUAUUUUUUCUCCACUUGGUAUGAAAAGCAUGUCGUUCAAUAGCUAAAAGCUUGAUCUUUCCGAAUAUGAAAACCAAUUGGUCAUACGCCGAGUGAUUCACGUAUAAUAGCGCGCUGAAGUUCGAUUACCUUUUUUUUAUACACCAUGUAUAGAAGUAGCAGAG